UUGAAACACCGGUUCUCGUAAGAUCACCGACGUUAAGCAACGUCGAGCCUGGACAUUACCUAGAUUGGUGACCGCUUGGGAAUACCAGGUUCUGUAAG
rnacentral:rRNA from 1 species